rnacentral:rRNA from 1 species
AUUGAACGCUGGCGGAAUGCUUUACACAUGCAAGUCGAACGGCAGCACGGACUUCGGUCUGGUGGCGAGUGGCGAACGGGUGAGUAAUGUAUCGGAACGUGCCCAGUCGUGGGGGAUAACGUAGUGAAAAUUACGCUAAUACCGCAUACGAUCUAUGGAUGAAAGCGGGGGAGCGCAAGACCUCGCGCGAUUGGAGCGGCCGAUAUCAGAUUAGGUAGUUGGUGGGGUAAAGGCCCACCAAGCCAACGAUCUGUAGCUGGUCUGAGAGGACGACCAGCCACACUGGAACUGAGACACGGUCCAGACUCCUACGGGAGGCAGCAGUGGGGAAUUUUGGACAAUGGGCGAAAGCCUGAUCCAGCCAUUCCGCGUGCAGGAUGAAGGCCCUCGGGUUGUAAACUGCUUUUGUACAGAACGAAAAGGUUUCUACUCAUACUAGGAGCUCAUGACGGUACUGUAAGAAUAAGCACCGGCUAACUACGUGCCAGCAGCCCGGUAA